rnacentral:miRNA from 1 species
GGCUGAGGCUGGGGAGGAGGUGGUCUAGAGGUUAUACUGCCCAAGCCCUGCCUCCUGUUCUCCCCAG